rnacentral:rRNA from 1 species
AGUGAACGCUGGCGGUAGGCCUAAUACAUGCAAGUCGAACGGAAGCACAGUAAGCGCUUGCCCUUACGGGUGGCGAGUGGCGGACGGGUGAGGAAUACAUCGGAAUCUACUUUUUCGUGGGGGAUAACGUAGGGAAACUUACGCUAAUACCGCAUACGACCUACGGGUGAAAGCAGGAGAUCUUCGGACCUUGCGCGAUUGAAUGAGCCGAUGUCGGAUUAGCUAGUUGGCGGGGUAAAGGCCCACCAAGGCGACGAUACGUAGCUGGUCUGAGAGGAUGAUCAGCCACACUGGAACUGAGACACGGUCCAGACUCCUACGGGAGGCAGCAGUGGGGAAUAUUGCACAAUGGGCGCAAGCCUGAUCCAGCCAUACCGCGUGGGUGAAGAAGGCCUUCGGGUUGUAAAGCCCUUUUGUUGGGAAAGAAAAGCAGCAGGUUAAUACCCCGCUGUUCUGACGGUACCCAAAGAAUAAGCACCGGCUAACUUCGUG